rnacentral:rRNA from 1 species
CACGUAGGGGGCGAGCGUUGUCCGGAUUUACUGGGCGUAAAGGGCGCGUAGGCGGUCAGCACAAGUCAGUUGUGAAAUCUCCGGGCUUAACUCGGAAAGGUCAACUGAUACUGUGCGACUAGAGUGCGGAAGGGGCAACUGGAAUUCUCGGUGUAGCGGUGAAAUGCGUAGAUAUCGAGAGGAACACCUGCGGCGAAGGCGGGUUGCUGGGCCGAGAUUGACGCUGAACGGCGAAAGCUAGG